CGAUCACGUUCAGAGUUUGAUCCUGGCUCAGGACGAACGCUGGCGGCGUGCCUAAUACAUGCAAGUGGAACGCAACUUUUCAUCCGUUUCUUCGGGAACAUCUGAGAAGUUGAGUCGCGAACGGGUGAGUAACGCGUAGGUAACCUGCCUGAUAGCGGGGGAUAACUAUUGGAAACGAUAGCUAAUACCGCAUAAGAGCUUUAGUGGCAUCAUUGGAGCUUAAAAGGAGCAACUGCUUCACUAUCAGAUGGACCUGCGUUGUAUUAGCUAGUUGGUGGGGUAAAGGCCUACCAAGGCAACGAUACAUAGCCGACCUGAGAGGGUGAUCGGCCACACUGGGACUGAGACACGGCCCAG
rnacentral:rRNA from 1 species